rnacentral:lncRNA from 1 species
UCCAGGAAGAGAAAGAAACAAAACAUAGUUGCUCGAUCUAGUGCAGAAGCAGAAUAUCGAGCAAUGGUCAUAGCAACUUGCAAGCUAGUUUGGAUCAAACAACUGCUCGGUCCUUAUAUUAGUUACAUCAAUAACAAGCCCAAUACAUAUGACUUGUAUGCGCCACCUUGAGGGAGAGUGUUAGAAUAGUCCUACAUGGAAAAGGAUUAUAUUUAGCGUCUAUAAAUAAGGCUCACUCUAAUAAUAUAGUCAACACGAUGCAAUAAUACUUCUCUCCUUUAUUUCUCACAAAGAUUAAUGACUAGAAAUACUGACUAGAAACAGACCGAUGCCUAAAUAUAUAUCUGUUGCAACUCAGACAGACGCCAAAAGUAAAAUACUGUACAUUUUUCACAAGAUAAGGUGCAACACGCAAGAAAACCAUUCUUAACAGUCCUACAUGGAAAAGGAUUAUAUGUAGCAAAUAGGGCUCAGUGUAAUAAAACAAAAGGUACAACAGAAAACAGUGUCCCAACUCCAGUGCGCACUCUGCAAAAAGAAAUGAACCUGCAAAAAUAUACACUAAAAUCAGAAUUCGAGUCUGAAGUAUAUUGGAAUUAUACAUCAGUCAUCCUAAAUCCAUAUAAUUUACAUUCUUUUUACUAUGUGUUAAAAGGCAUUGAAAACUUUACAGAAAACUGAAAAGACUCAUAACCAUAUUGAAUUACUUCAGAGAAUGAAUUCAGAUAUAGAUAUCUCAUAAAUGAAAGAAUAAUUGCAGCAGGAAGACACAACACUUAGCAGGAAGAGCACAACACUUGUUACUCAAGACAGACUGACUACAUAAGUGGUGAAGUCAAGAUCACUGCAGAACACAAAGAUUCCACAAUUUAUAUUCAUAUGGACAUGAUCACUGAUUCAAGGUUGUCAUGGAAAACGUGUAAAACUUUAUCAAACAACCAAAUAAGAGUGAAAUUUACAAUAUCUGAACUGGAAAGUGACAUUAGACAAAGAAAAUGAAAUAAAAACCAGUGAACAUGCUCCCAGACCUCGUCAAAGAAGAUAUGCAUCAAACUAAAGAAUUGUAACAACCUGACCCCUGAUCUUGAGCAUUUUAUGGUUGAAAUUGCGUUUUGAAGCUUUGAAUAAGUUUGUAUAACCAUUUGGGACUUGUUGGGAUGGUCGGGUUGAAAACCCGAGAGCUCAGGGAUGUUUUCACACUAAUUCAAUUGAGUAUUACUGAAAAGUCUAGUACUGGUGCAACCACAAAAGUAGAAGACUCUCCCCAAAUGCAGAGAGUCGACUGCAAAUGUGAAUUAUGGCUCGCAAAUGCGAUGGGGGAAAGAUUGUCCAAGUCCAUAUAAGGAGACCACCCGUCCAUUCCCCAACCAAUGUGGGACUUUUACCCACUCUGAUAGAUAUCAACCCAUACCAUUGACAUAAGUGGAUGAUCAUAUUCAAUUUUGGUUGGAUUUUAACCAUAGAAUCAUGAGAAUCAAGUGUCUAAAUUGGAGAUUUUUUACCAAGUUCCCAAUAUAGUAAACUAGGAAUUUGACCUAAUGAAGCACACAGAUUGAAACUUAAUCCCCAGCACCCAUGAGGGCCCAUAUGAUUUAGGUCUAUCGGAUGUCAGAAGUCAUAGGUAUCCAUAAGGACCAGCUAGACUCUUAGCUUGAUGGCUCGGGUGGCUCUGGCUGUACUAGGGAUUAACAUAAUAAACCUAGCCAUGACUCAAUGAUGUUAAUUAAGAUCAAGUUUACUUGAGGCAAGACCUUGGCUGUGGAAUGGCUUAAUCAUGACAUGGGCAGGACAGGCUAAGGCAAGACAAGGCUAUGAUUGUUGCAUGAUUGUGGCUAAGACAAGUUUGUGGGCUAUGAGCUGGGCAAGGCAUACAGCUAAGGAGAUUGGGCACCAAUGGCAAGUUGUGUGGGGCAAAACCUUCCCACAAGGUAGGCAUGUGGGCAAGGCACGAAGCUGGGUGCCAGAGUGGGCAUUUCGCGCCAGAUUUGAAGGUUGCCUACGUGUGCCGCGCACAUGCUUCGGCAGUUGGACAGUUUCUAAGUUUCUAGCCAUUUGUGGCUUGUCAUAGAAUUAGGUGAACUUGUAAUUUGAACUUCGGAUUUGGCCUAGCUCAUAAGGUGAGAAUUGUCCACGACUAUCGGACUAUGUAAUGGGAGAACAAGUCAUUCCCUCAACCAAUGUGGAACACUUAAAGUACUCCAAUCACUAAACAUCUAAGUGUGUUGAAAAUGAGGACUCGACAUUAGGUAAACCAAUAAUAGGGAUAUUAAGAAAAUAAAUCUUACCUGUAACUCAACCUCAAAAGCUAGUUGAGGAUUGCCCGAGACCAUAUAAGAAGACACACGUUUAACUCCACCAAUGUGGAAAAUCAAUUAAUCAUUGCUUGAGACAUAGCUUUCAACACUUCACAAACCUGUCAUCUUAUCCUUUCUUCCCAAAAUGCCCAAUCACUUAUCUGUGACUUUCUAAAUCAAGAUUUGAAAAAAGAGUGGGCUGAUCGACCAGUGAAGGAAAUGAGAGAAAAACUUAGAAUAGCAGACCAUCAACAUAAGCACUCUCAUUAAGGAAAUAAAGCAUUUGCUCAUCUCUUGGACAAGAAGUUACAAUAGGAUUGUCG